AGCGAACGCUGGCGGCAGGCUUAACACAUGCAAGUCGAAUGGGCUUCUUCGGACGUCAGUGGCAGACGGGUGAGUAACACGUGGGAACGUGCCCUUCGGUUCGGAAUAACUCAGGGAAACUUGAGCUAAUACCGGAUACGCCCUUUUGGGGAAAGGUUUACUGCCGAAGGAUCGGCCCGCGUCUGAUUAGCUUGUUGGUGAGGUAACGGCCUACCAAGGCGACGAUCAGUAGCUGGUCUGAGAGGAUGAUCAGCCACACUGGGACUGAGACACGGCCCAGACUCCUACGGGAGGCAGCAGUGGGGAAUAUUGGACAAUGGGCGCAAGCCUGAUCCAGCCAUGCCGCGUGAGUGAUGAAGGCCUUAGGGUUGUAAAGCUCUUUUGUCCGGGACGAUAAUGACGGUACCGGAAGAAUAAGCCCCGGCUAACUUCGUG
rnacentral:rRNA from 1 species